CUGGGAAGAGGAACAUACUUCUAGCUUUCACACUGAGCCAGGAACUGCUCGAGAAACUGCUGCCUGUCAGAGCCCUGGAAGGGAAGAGAAUCUGGAUUUCAUUCAAGACAACACAACAGCCUUUCCUGCUGUUUUGAUGGAAAGCCUGCUGCAGUUUAUAAAUCAGAAAUAACUUCACUGAGUCAAGCAACUCCCACGUCCCCUGCUCCAUGUAUCCAAUGAGAGGAAGUGCUGGUAAAGAGAAGAUUAUUCAGAGGAUGUAAUAAAAUCCUAACCAAAGCCAGAAAGGUAGGAUAUUUUCUGGCAGAUAUUUCAAAGAGCCAAGAAUCCUUAACACAGUUUUUGAAGAUGGUGGCUGGCCUGGCAAGUUGUGCCCCCUUUGGAAUUCCUCUUCAGGAAUCUAUUGGUGAAUCAAAAUGGAUCAUGCCCUUUUUAAGACACUGACAUCUCCCAGUGGGGUUUGAUUAGAUCACCUUUAUGCAAACAAAGAACCUCCAGUAACUUCAAACUUGGAAAGUCUACAUAUCUAAAAUAUAUUCAGAUAUUGAGUCAGGACGUCUGUAGAUAUUUUGGGAUGUUUGAGAUUAUGGGUCAGUUUUCAGGCAUUAUCUCAACCAUGCCAAAACACUGAUCAUAAAUUCACUCAGCCUUGCCCACAGAGUGGCAGUUACUCUUUAAACAGUAUUUUGACACACAUAAACUAGGUGAAUCGUUAGACUUGAACUUGACCAGAGAAACAAGUCUUUUCUUCCUAGAAUCACAGUGUAGGUGUUCCAUUAUAUAUACUGGCCUAUCUGCCUCACAACAUAGAGAAAAUGUUGCUACAAACAGCACUGAAUCCAAAGUCUGGCUUGUAAUCAGGACAGGAGCAGAAGUUCAGGCAGGCAUCGUGUUUUUUGUUUUGUUUUGUUUUAAACUGUUUGGUCCAUUCUACACCGAUACCAUCCAAUUGUAGAUAAACCACACACUUUGAUUUCAGAUUGUGAGAAAAUGACUCUGAAGUGCAGGAUUAAUUUAUAUAAAAGAAUCACUAAGAGAGAGAAUUGCUGUCCACAGUUUCCACUAGCUCUUUAAAAAUCUCUCGUCAAUGCUAGUACAACAACAAGCAGAGAAGCAAUGAUUUAAUAAUGUGUGUGGGAUACUAUUUUUCAUCUUUUUGUCUAUGGAUACAAAUGAGUUCCAAGUCAUCUCUUGUUUUUCAGGGACUAUCCAGUCUCAACUCAAAUUUCAGUCACACACUCACUAGCUGAAUUAAUACAUCCAUUAAUGUAAAUGAAUGUUCCUGUGUAUGGCUUCCCAUUUAAUAGAAGACACCAUUUAAACAGUAAUGCUGUUAUCUGGGGAGCAACAGAGUUGCAAUGAAAGUACAUCAUGAUACUGGACAAGCCACUGAUGUUGGAGGGAGGCCCUAUUUGCACUGGGAUGAUAAAUGAGUUUGCUGCCCGCCCUGCAUCAUUGGCAGGGGCAGCUGUGAAAUGCCUAACAUGUGGUAUACCCAGUUGUUGUGAAUAAAGCUGACCAAU